rnacentral:rRNA from 1 species
GUGUCAGCAGCCGCGGUAAUACGGAAGGGGCUAGCGUUGUUCGGAAUUACUGGGCGUAAAGCGCGCGUAGGUGGUCGGGUAAGUGAGGCGUGAAAGUCCUGGGCUCAACCUGGGGACGGCGCUUCAUACUGCCUGGCUGGAGUCCGGGAGAGGGUGGUGGAAUUCCCAGUGUAGAGGUGAAAUUCGUAGAUAUUGGGAGGAACACCGGUGGCGAAAGCGGCCACCUGGCCCGGAACUGACGCUGAAGCGCGAAAGCGUGGGGAGCAAACAGGAUUAGAAACCCUGGUAGUCC